rnacentral:rRNA from 1 species
AUACGGAGGGUGCAAGCGUUAUCCGGAAUCAUUGGGUUUAAAGGGUCCGCAGGCGGAUUAAUAAGUCAGUGGUGAAAUCCUCUCGCUCAACGAGAGAACUGCCAUUGAAACUGUUAGUCUUGAAUUCGGUCGAAGUAGGCGGAAUGUGUCAUGUAGCGGUGAAAUGCAUAGAUAUGACACAGAACACCGAUAGCGAAGGCAGCUUACUAGACCUGGAUUGCCGCUCAUGGACGAAAGCGUGGGGAGCGAACAGGAUUAGAAACCCUAGUAGUCCC